AUGUACCGGGCGGCGGCGGCGGCCAUUUCGCGGUCCUCCUCGGCGCUGCGGCGGCAGCUCGCGCGCGGCGGCGGCGGGGAGCAGCGGCAGUGGGCGCGCGGGUAUGCGGCGAAGGAGGUCACCUUCGGCGUCGGCGCGCGCGCCGCCAUGCUGCGGGGCGUCAACGACCUCGCGGACGCCGUCAAGGUUACCAUGGGCCCCAAGGGGCGCAAUGUGGUUAUCGAGAGACCGAACAGAUCCCCCAAGGUCACCAAGGACGGGGUCACCGUUGCCAAGAGCAUAGAGUUCGAGGACAGCGCCAAGAAUGUUGGGGCGAGCCUGGUGAAGCAGGUCGCGGAUGCCACUAACAAGGCAGCGGGAGAUGGUACCACUUGCGCAACUGUGCUUACACAGGCAAUUCUCACGGAAGGAUGCAAGGCUGUGGCAGCAGGGGUCAAUGUUAUGGAUUUGCGGAAAGGCAUAAACAAGGCUAUAAGCGCCGUCAGUGCUCACCUCAAAAGUAAAGCAUGGAUGAUUGAUUCGCCUGAUGAAAUAAACCAGGUAGCUACAAUUUCUGCAAAUGGAGAAAAGGAAAUUGGUGAUCUGAUAUCAAAAGCUAUGGGAAUAGUUGGAAAGGAUGGCGUCAUUACUAUUGCUGAUGGCAAAACUUUGGAUAAUGAGCUUGAAGCGGUCCAGGGAAUGAAGUUGACUAGAGGCUACAUAUCCCCUUACUUUGUAACUGAUCAGAAGACUCAGAAAUGUGAGUUGAAAGAUCCUCUGAUUCUUAUUCAUGACAAGAAAAUCUCAAAUAUGAAUUCACUUCUUCCAGCAUUGCAAAUUUCCAUCCAGAACCGCAGACCUCUUCUCAUUUUUGCUGAGGAUGUAGAUGGAGAAGCUCUUUCAAUGCUUGUACUGAACAAGCAUCGUGCUGGACUAAAGAUAUGUGCUGUCAAAGCUCCUGGAUUUGGUGAAAACAGAAGGGCCAAUCUGGAUGAUAUGGCUGUUUUAACAGGAGGGCAGGUUAUUAGCGAGGACCAAGGUCUUGAUCUUGAUAAAGUUGAACUACAAAUGCUCGGCACAGCUAAGAAGGUUACUGUAUCUCUUGAUGAUACUAUCAUUCUAGAUGGUGGAGGUGAAAGGCAACAGAUAGAAGAGAGGUGUCAACAGCUUAGAGAAUCACUCGAGAACAGCACCUCCAUGUUCGACAAAGAAAAGGCUCAAGAGCGUUUAUCAAAAUUAUCUGGAGGCGUUGCUAUUCUCAAGAUUGGUGGAGCUAGUGAAGCUGAAGUUGGUGAGAAAAAAGACAGGGUAACAGAUGCUCUAAAUGCUGCAAGGGCUGCUGUGGAGGAGGGUAUUGUUCCAGGUGGUGGAGUUGCACUUUUAUAUGCCACCAAGGAGCUCGACAACAUUAGCACAUCGCAUGAGGAUGAAAAGAUUGGAGUUCAAAUUAUCAAGAAUGCUUUGAAGGCCCCCCUGAUGACCAUAGCUGCAAAUGCUGGCGUCGAUGGUGCUAUAGUUAUUGGGAAGCUACUGGAACAAGAUAAUCUUAGUUUGGGCUAUGAUGCAGCAAAAGGGGAGUAUGUUGACAUGAUCAAGGCUGGUAUCAUCGACCCUGUGAAAGUUAUCCGGACCGCACUUCAAGAUGCAGCAAGCGUUUCUCUGCUGAUGACAACCACGGAGGCUGCAGUUGCUGAGCUCCCGUCGACAAAAGCCAGAAUUGCCAGUCGAAUGCCGGACAUGAGCGGAAUGGGUUUCUGA
rnacentral:rRNA from 1 species